rnacentral:rRNA from 1 species
CACGGGGGGAGCAAGCGUUGUUCGGAUUUACUGGGCGUAAAGGGCGCGUAGGCGGCCACCGCAAGUCGGUUGUGAAAUCUCUGGGCUUAACCCAGAAAGGUCAACCGAUACUGCGGGGCUAGAGUGCAGAAGGGGCAACUGGAAUUCUCGGUGUAGCGGUGAAAUGCGUAGAUAUCGAGAGGAACACCUGCGGCGAAGGCGGGUUGCUGGGCUGACACUGACGCUGAAGCGCGAAAGCUAGGGGAGCGAACGGG